rnacentral:rRNA from 10 species
GUCUACGGCCUCCCCACCCUGAAAGCGCCUGAUCUCAUCUGAUCUCAGAAGCUAAGCAGAGUCAGGUCUGGUUAAUUCUUACAUAGGAGACCGCAAAAA